rnacentral:snRNA from 1 species
GGACAUGAGGGGGAUCUGGCUGCGAUAUUUGUCACUUCAUUGAUCACCAGGGUUGAUCUGGCUGAUCUGGCUGGCCAGGCGGGUGUCCCCAUCCUCCCUCACCAUUCCAUGUGCGUCCUCCUCAAGCUGCGUACUUGGUGGAAGAGCACGUCAUCCCCAAUAGAGGAGGGCCGUUCUUCAGUCAAGGGUAUACAAGUAGCUAUACUCCCCUGCUAGAACCUCUAAACAAGUUCUCAAGAGCCAACCCUGAGGACUAACUCAAAACCAUCUCUGUUCUGGGUACCAUGUCAGAUGCUAAGGAU